UACGGAGGAUCCAAGCGUUAUCCGGAAUCAUUGGGUUAAAGGGUCCGUAGGCGGUUUGGUAAGUCAGUGGUGAAAGCCCAUCGCUCAACGGUGGAACGGCCAUUGAUACUGCCAGACUUGAAUUAUUAGGAAGUAACUAGAAUAUGUAGUGUAGCGGUGAAAUGCUUAAGAGAUUACAUGGAAUACCAAUUGCGAAGGCAGGUUUACUACUAAUGGAUUGACGCUGAUGGACGAAAGCGUGGGUAGCGA
rnacentral:rRNA from 1 species